UACGGAGGGUGCGAGCGUUGUCCGGAAUCACUGGGCGUAAAGGGCGCGUAGGCGGCCUGAUAAGUAGGGGGUGAAAUCCUGCGGCUUAACCGCAGGGCUGCCUUCUAAACUGUCAGGCUCGAGCACAGUAGAGGCAGGUGGAAUUCCCGGUGUGGCGGUGGAAUGCGUAGAGAUCGGGAAGAACAUCAGUGGCGAAGGCGGCCUGCUGGGCUGUUGCUGACGCUGAGGCGCGAAAGCGUGGGGAGCAAACAGG
rnacentral:rRNA from 1 species